rnacentral:rRNA from 1 species
UACGAAGGUCCCAAGCGUUAUCCGGAUUUAUUGGGUUUAAAGGGUGCGUAGGCGGGUUAUUAAGUCAGUGGUGAAAGCCUUCAGCUCAACUGAGGAAUUGCCAUUGAUACUGAUGAUCUUGAGUACGAUUGAGGUAGGCGGAAUGUGUCAUGUAGCGGUGAAAUGCUUAGAUAUGACACAGAACACCGAUUGCGAAGGCAGCUUACUAAGUCGUAACUGACGCUGAUGCACGAAAGCGUGGGGAGCAAACAGG